rnacentral:rRNA from 1 species
UACGUAGGGACCAAGCGUUGUUCGGAUUUAUCGUGGCGUAAAGGGCGCGUAGGCGGCAAUUCAAGUCAUCUGUGAAAUCUCCGGGCUUAACCCGGAACGGUCAGGUGAUACUGUUUUGCUAGAGUGCGGAAGGGGCAAUCGGAAUUCUCGGUGUAGCGGUGAAAUGUGUAGAUAUCGAGAGGAACACCAGAGGUGAAGACGGGUUGCUGGGCCGACACUGACGCUGACAGCGCGAAAGCCAGGGGAGCAAACGGG